UAGGGAAUCUUCCGCAAUGGACGCAAGUCUGACGGAGCAACGCCGCGUGAGUGAAGAAGGUUUUCGGAUCGUAAAACUCUGUUGUAAGAGAAGAACAAAUUGUAGAGUAACUGCUACAGUCUUGACGGUAUCUUACCAGAAAGCCACGGCUAACUACGUGCCAGCAGCCGCGGUAAUACGUAAGGUCCGAGCGUUGUCCGGAAUCAUUGGGCGUAAAGGGUACGUAGGCGGGUAAGCAAGUUAGAAGUGAAAUCCUAUAGCUCAACUAUAGUAAGCUUUUAAAACUGCUCAUCUUGAGAUAUGGAAGGGAAAGUGGAAUUCCUAGUGUAGCGGUGAAAUGCGCAGAUAUUAGGAGGAAUACCGGUGGCGAAGGCGACUUUCUGGCCAUAAUCUGACGCUGAGGUACGAAAGCGUGGGUAGCAAACAGG
rnacentral:rRNA from 1 species